GACGAACGCUGGCGGCGUGCUUAACACAUGCAAGUCGAACGGAGUGGCGAACGGGUGAGUAACACGUGGGUGACCUGCCCUGCACUUCGGGAUAAGCCUGGGAAACUGGGUCUAAUACCGGAUAGUGUGGGAUGGGCCCGCGGCCUAUCAGCUUGUUGGUGGGGUAAUGGCCUACCAAGGCGGCGACGGGUAGCCGGCCGGGGCGGGUGGACGGCCACAUGGGUACUGGGACACGGCGCAGACUCCGACGGGAGGCAGCAGGGUGGAAUAUUGCACAAUGGGCGGAAGCCUGAUGGAGCGACGCUGCGUGGGGGAUGACGGUAUUCGGGUUGUAAACUCCUUUCACCAUCGACGCGGUAGAUGGAGAAGAAGCACCGGCUAACUACGUGCCAGCCGCCGCGGUAAUUC
rnacentral:rRNA from 1 species